rnacentral:rRNA from 1 species
GAUGAACGCUAGCGAUAGGCUUAACACAUGCAAGUCGAGGGGCAGCACAAGGUAGCUUGCUAUCUGGGUGGCGACCGGCGCACGGGUGCGUAACGCGUAUGCAACUUGCCCUAUACAGGAGGAUAACCCGUCGAAAGACGGACUAAUACUGCGUAUGCUCACAACUUGGCAUCAAGUGGUGAGGAAAGAAAUUCGGUAUAGGAUAGGCAUGCGUCCCAUUAGCUUGUUGGUGAGGUAACGGCUCACCAAGGCAACGAUGGGUAGGGGAACUGAGAGGUUUAUCCCCCACACCGGUACUGAGACACGGACCAGACUCCUACGGGAGGCAGCAGUGAGGAAUAUUGGUCAAUGGGCGCGAGCCUGAACCAGCCAAGUCGCGUGAAGGAUGACUGUCUUAUGGAUUGUAAACUUCUUUUAUACGGGAAUAACAAGAGUCACGUGUGACUCCCUGCAUGUACCGUAUGAAUAAGCAUCGGCUAACUCCGU